GAUGAAGAACGUAGCGAAAUGCGAUACUUGGUGUGAAUUGCAGAAUCCCGUGAACCAUCGAGUCUUUGAACGCAAGUUGCGCCCGAAGCCAUCAGGUUGAGGGCACGUCUGCCUGGGCGCCACAUAUCGUUGCCCAAUGCCUAUUGCAGUGCAAUAGGAAUUUCUAGGGCGAAUGAUGGCUUCCCGUGAGCGUUGUUGCCUCGCGGUUGGUUGAAAAUCGAGUCCUUGGUAGGGUGUGCCAUGGUAGAUGGUGGUCGAGUUAGAACGAUACCGAUCAUGUGCAUGCUCCCCAAAAUAUGGCCUCUAUGACCCACACGCGUCUUUUGACGCUCAUGACGAGACCUCAGGUCAGGCGGGGCUACCCGCUGAAUUUAAGCAUAUCAAUAAGCGGAGGA
rnacentral:misc_RNA from 1 species